rnacentral:rRNA from 1 species
UACGUAGGGACCAAGCGUUGUUCGGAUUUACUGGGCGUAAAGGGCGCGUAGGCGGCCACCGCACGUCGACUGUAAAAUCUCCGGGCUUAACCCGGAAAGGUCAGCCGAUACUGCGGGGCUAGAGUGCAGAAGGGGCAACUGGAAUUCUCGGUGGAGCGGUGAAAUGCGUAGAUAUCGAGAGGAACACCUGCGGCGAAGGCGGGUUGCUGGGCUGACACUGACGCUGAUGCGCGAAAGCUAGGGGAGCGAACGGG